rnacentral:rRNA from 1 species
AUGAACGCUGGCGGCGUGCUUAACACAUGCAAGUCGAACGGAAAGCCCAGUGCUUGCAUUGGUACUCGAGUGGCGAACGGGGGGGAAACCCGUGGGUGAUCGGCCCUUUACUUCGGGUUAAGCUUGGGAAACGGGGUCUAAUACCGGAUAGGACAACUUUUUGGUUUUUGUGGUGGAAAGCUUUUGCGGUAUGGGAUGAGCUCGCGGCCUAUCAGCUUGUUGGUGGGGUAAUGGCCUACGAGGGCGUCGCCGGGUGGCCGGCCUGAGAGGGUGUACGGCCACAUUGGGACUGAGAUACGGCCCAGACUCCUACGGGAGGCAGCAGUGGGGAAUAUUGCACAAUGGGCGCAAGCCUGAUGCAGCGACGCCGCGUGGGGGAUGAAGGCCUUCGGGUUGUAAACUCCUUUCGCUAGGGACGAAGCGCAAGUGACGGUACCUGGAGAAGAAGCACCGGCUAACUACGUG